rnacentral:rRNA from 1 species
AGAGUUUGAUCCUGGCUCAGAACGAACGCUGGCGGCGUGGAUAAGACAUGCAAGUCGAACGGGACCAAGUCUGUAGUAAUACAAACUUGGUUCAGUGGCGCACGGGUGCGUAACACGUGAGCAAUCUGCCGGGAAGUGGGGGAUAGCUCGCCGAAAGGCGAAUUAAUACCGCAUGUGGCCAUUCUUCGAGUGGAGGAAAAGCCAAAGCAGCAAUGCGCUUCCUGAUGAGCUCGCGGCCUAUCAGCUCGAUGGCGGGGUAAUGGCCCACCAUAGCUUUGACGGGUAGCUGGUCUGAGAGGACGACCAGCCACACUGGAACUGAGACACGGUCCAGACACCUACGGGUGGCAGCAGUCGAGAAUUUUUCACAAUGGGGGCAACCCUGAUGGAGCGACGCCGCGUGGAGGAUGAAGGCCUUCGGGUUGUAAACUCCUGUCAUGCGGGAACAAGCAAGUGAUAGUACCGCAAGAGGAAGAGACGGCUAACUCUGUGCCAGCAGCCGCGGUAAUACAGAGGUCUCAAGCGUUGUUCGGAUUCAUUGGGCGUAAAGGGUGCGUAGGUGGUGAUGCAAGUCUGGUGUGAAAUCUCGGAGCUCAACUCCGAAAUUGCACCGGAUACUGCGUGACUCGAGGACUGUAGAGGAGAUCGGAAUUCACGGUGUAGCAGUGAAAUGCGUAGAUAUCGUGAGGAAGACCAGUUGCGAAGGCGGAUCUCUGGGCAGUUCCUGACACUGAGGCACGAAGGCCAGGGGAGCAAACGGGAUUAGAUACCCCCGUAGUCC